CGCUGCCGCUGCCCUCCGCGGGGCUGCGCCGGCUCCGCGGCGGCUCGGUACGGCGGGGCGGGGCGGCGGCACCGAGGCCCCCCCGCCGCUCCCCGUCGCUAUGGAGACAGCUGUUCCGCUCCGGGAGGGAAGGAGGGGGCGCGCAGCCCAGAUGUGCCACCGUCGAUGCCACAGGCAGCUGACCACUCAUUUGCAAUCUGUGCUGAGAGGUCAAUCAAGAUAAUGCAAUCCACCCACAAAUUUCAUCUGAAAUGAGCAUCAGCUCCACGAAAGGUGCUAACAUCUUGAUUAUCACUGUGAAUGAAAGUGAGAGAAAGAUGCUGCACAGUCACAUCUGCUCACGGAACAUCCACUGCUUUAAGCCACGAUAACAUCCAUGAACUCUCAAAAAUUACCCAAAAGCCAGGUGCAAGGAUGAGCUUCAGCUGUUCAGCUCUGGCAUAUGUCAGAGAGAGAGAGACUGGAGGAGGAGAAGCAGCAAGACAGCGCGAGGGGAGCAUCUACUGUCAUGUGAGAGAAGAUCUUGCUAGAGAAGGAGCUUUGUUCCACUGGGCCCUGCUAACUUCACACACACAUUCAUCUAAUUCUUUGCCUUGUAUAUUGAAGAAGAAUCUGCAGAAGAUGGAUGUUGUUUGAUUGGCCCAAAUUAUAAGCAGCCUAGCAUCGGAACUUCUACAGGUGUGGAAGAAAAAAGGCACACCUAUCCAUACAACAUAUGCAUCUGCAUGCUGCAGGAAGAAACAGAUGAUUAGUUGGGAUAAUAUCCUAGUUUGUUUGGCUGCUUUUUUAUUUGCCUGAACGACAACUGAGAACAGGCCUUCUUGAUGCGGCCCAGAAUUCAUCGCUCCUUCCUUCUCUUCACCCAAAAUGGCACUAUCAGUAGUGAGAUUUCAUACCUAUGUAAACUAUUCCUCUUUUGACAGCAGUUGGCUUCACUUGGAAAGCUUUGUCCCUGUGCUGAAGGCAGGGCUCUGCUCACUGCCAGCUCAGAUGAUGCACUAUGCCAAAACAAAACACACUGCAGCAGCUGUGUUGGAUUAUCACUGCCUGUCAGGCAGACCAGACCCCUACUCCCAGAAGUACAGCUCAGACUUCCCCCAGCACACUGAGGUGCAUCUACCAGCUCCAUACAUUUACCAGCAUCGCAGCAGUCUUCACACCUAUUCACUUUACUUUGGGGGUAACCUCUCUCUAAAUAAUUCCUUUGGCAAUGGACUUUCCCUUCAGUCGCUUCAACAUGAUGGUCGAGAUGGUGGACACUUCUACUAAAGUGGCAGACAGAACACUGUGAAAGAAGGAAAUCUGAGGGGAUAUUUCCCUUUCAAAGGAGAUCCCACAGUCUUUGUGGAUCUAAAUGGGUUCCUGUUAAAGCAGGAACAAAUCAGGACCAAUGACAGAGGCUAGUGCAAAUCUCAUAUCCCAUUCCUAUUUCUGCAUCCAAAUAUUUGCUUUUAAUUAGCUCUACUUCCUACAUUAACAGUGGAGGUGUUCAGAUUUCUAAUUGGGUCAUUGCUAGCCAACACUGCAUCCUGCUGAGAAAUCAGCUUCCUUAGGGAAUACAAUGAAAAACAAACCUUUAGCAAACAUGGCCAGUUAGAGAAAGGCAAGUGUGUUAAGGGCUACUAAUCUGCAUGCCUGAACAUGCUUGACAUCCCCAACACCUAAAAGUUGGUUUUAGAUUGUCAAAGGAGGAAUUCUGGCACACUACUCAAUAGUUAACUGUCAAAGUAUUGGUCGCUUUGCCUACAGGUGAAGUUAUUUUAUGGUUUUAUUUCCCAGCCAUAUUGCAUACGAGGACUGGUGAUGUUCUUUCACCUUUCUGGUCCAGAUCCUUCCCUCACAGAACAUUCCUCAUUGGAUUAGCUGCUGGCAGCUCCCGGCCCCAGACAGACCCAUGCUUUGACUGACUGCUCAGUUCCCUCUUGGCAUCCAUGAGGAUUCCUAUCUAAUAGCACUGAAUUUGACUGGACUUGGAAAUAACAGCAGUCACCUUCUCAUCCCAGUCUACAGAGGCUGUAACACCGGUGGCAAUGGAUGUGCAGCUCACUGUUAGCAUCUGAAGUCACAGUUUUUCUUUACCCUUAGACUCAAAUGGUGGGAACCAGCCAGAACUUCAGAAAUGUCAAGAUUAGUAUUGUGUAGUCCCGCUGAUUCUCAAAGACAGUCUGUGGUGUGUUCACAAUGGGAAGCACUUCUCACCAGGAAAAUAUCAGGGACUGCUGAAUUCAGCAAAACAGGUGCAACUAUUCUUUUUAUUUUAUUUCCCCAGAGUACAGUCCUGCCCCAGCAGUGAAGACAAACCCCACAGGCAAAUGUCAGCCUUAAUUCUGGCUUGACAGCCAGGAACAGCCAGCGUGCAUUUCAAAACAAAUCUCAAAAUGCACAACCAAACCAGCGAAGAACAGAAGAGAAACACGAGUCCCCAGGAGGGAAUAUUUGAAUAAUCUUGCUGACAGAUCUGUUCUUUUCUCCAGAUUUUCAGUCUGCACAAAGGAUUACAAUACGAAAUCAGAUGCCGUCACUGGGCUCUGAUGAAUGUGAACAUAAGGACUAAACACUGCCUACCCAUAGGAAUAAAUACUCCAGCUCCAACUGCACCACUCUCAUUGUUCACGCUGUCACUACAAUCCUGCAGGCAGCAUUACAGCCUCAUGGCUGGGCAUUGCCCAACAUUAUUCACUACAUCAGAUAGAGAUUUUCAGCUCUUGUCUAGUGAUGAACAUACUCCUGACAUUAUCAUCUCUUCUCAGAGUCACCACAUGAGUUUUACAUACUGGAUUCAAAAGGCAAAUUUGCCUCUCUGCUUAAGAAUUAAUGCUGAGAUUCUCACUGUCUGUAAGAUGUUUGAAAAGCAAAAUCCCCUUUAAAGUUGCAAGUCUACCUCACUAUUAGACUUUUUUGUUUAGUGUUUAAAUAGCUGUCUAUUAAAAACUUGCAACUCCUUUCCAGUCUGAAUUUGCUGAGAUGAGUUUCAUGCCAGUGGAACUCAUUAGAUGUUCUUAUAUUUGAUGCAGCAGCCAAAAUAGAUGCUUACAAUUUAUGAUUCCAUCACUCAACCUUCUCUUCCACGAAUUGAAAAGGUCAAAGUCCUAGUUACAGCAUUGCUAGCAGUUCCAGCCAACUGCCAAGACAGGCAUUUUCAUAGAAUCAUAAAGGUUGGAAAGACCACAAAGAUCAUUGAGUGCAACCAUCAGCCCAUUCCUGUGCCUGCUCUAGACAACAUCACUCAGUGCCACAUCCACACUUGUCUUGAAAAGCUCCAGAGGUGAUGACCCCACCACCUCCCUGGGCAGCCCGUUCCAACGUCUCAGAGUUAUUACCUUCACCUUCUCCAUCUUUAUAGCAGUCAGAACACUGAGGUGGGAUCUAACCUCAUUUUGGAAAGGAUUUGUGUUGAAACGCUUCUCUCCGCUCUGAAAGCAGAGAGAAGCUGACAAAAACAGUGAUUAUACCAGACCCAGAGAUUGAGAAUUUGAUAAUCUGAAAUAAUCCAAAAUACAACCCUUGCCUUACACUUAUAUGGCUAAUGGUUCUGCUCCACUGCUCAGGUCAGAAAGCUGUGGUUUGGAGCCAGAAAAUAUCAGAGCAAAGUCAGCUCCUGGCAACCAGGAGCAGCAAAGCAAAUCUGUGGUCAUUUCUUAGCUACUGUUUGCUAGCUUGUUCCCUUGCAAAAAAAAAAAAAGUCAGCUUGAACCACACAGAGAUGAUUUACUCACAAGGAACAAGCGUAGCUCUCAGCAAUAAAUGCAGCAGAUCAGAUGGGAAGGAAAGGCUGGUGAAAAUGGGGUAAAUACCAGGAAGGGUGUGGGGGGAACUGAGCAGGCUGAAGAUGCUGGAGGUGCUGCUCCUUGGCUGGAAAAUGAACUGCAAGAAAGCUUCUUGACCACAGGCUGCUGAGGAACCCUGGCCAAAACCUCAGGUAUUUUCUAUAGUGUCACUAUAGCAUGUUAUUUUGCAGAGAAGGGCUGCCAUCAGAAAAGGUACAUUUCAUGAGGUUUAAAGACAAGAAGCAUCUCAAAGGGACAAGCACCCACUGCAGAGCAACGGGAGAAGAGACUGGAAAGUUUGCCAGCAGAGGGUCUUGAUUAAAGCAUGAAGGAACAGAGGGUGGUAAUUAUGAUGCCACAGGAUCCUAUCAUCCCACACACUGUGAUGCUGGCUAUUUGCUUCAAAAACACAGGAGUGGUUGGAGAGAUACAGGAGGUUGCAAAAGGAAAAGUGAGGAGAUGAUUAUCCUCUGCAGGACAGAAGGAACAGCAGGUAAUUAUUGCCUGCAGGACCACAAGGAUUUGGCUUGAUGCAGAGGUAUGGAAAAUUACAUGCCCUAUAAGACCAUUUCCCUGCUGAGUCCACAACAGUUAGAAUUCAGUAGGGUUAUGGAUUGCAGUCCUUAAUUUUGUCUUCCUAAGGAAUUUUGUGCUUUGAGGAUCAGAGGGCAGAAUUGCUUUGCAAAGAACCAGAUGGAGAUGGCAUGGUUUUGUCCUUAGUACUCUACAAGAACUAGCUGUGGUUGGGAUGGCUAUUUGGUUUUUUCUUCAUCCAAAUCACUGUGUGAUAAGUUUAUUGAUUUCUUGGGAUUGCUUCUUCUAAAAAGAUGUGAAUUCUCUCACAGUCACAUGCAGUCAGCAGAGACAUGCCAGAGGCCAGCACUGCAGCCCCAAACCCACAGCAACCUCCAGCCACCUCUUCCUCCCAGCAGCUGUUAGAAUCUUGAGCUCUGAAAUUCAUAAGCUCAGAGGCAGGCUCCAAAAUAGAGCAUGAUAGAGAGAAGUAAGAGUCAGUGAAAGGGAAGUUAUACUAUGAGUCUGAGUACCCUGAUCUACCUAGGAUGUCUUAGUUUCUCAUUUAUCAUGACCAAGCAUAGGUGAGAUCUGCCACAGGGAUCAUUUGCAACUCAUUGGUCAUCACAGAAAAUCAGCUGUUGGUGAAAGGAGGAGACCUUAGAAGUUAAGACAGGCUGCUAUUUUCCUUGGAAGAAGGCAGAAUUGCCUCAAUCAGAUAACAGCACUUGCAUUCUGCACAUUCUGAAGACAUCCAGCACUCAGUAAAUCACAUAAACACACACAGAGAAGACCAUGAAUGAUGUGAGAAGGCAGCUUUUGUACACAGGGAUGUGCAAGAGCUGGGUGACAAGACAACCUCAUGAAACAUAGUUUUGCCUGCAGAUGAAUUGCAGCUACUGUGAAGCAGCAGUUUUACAUGCUCUGUGGAUGUUUUAAAGCCCCAGCUCUAAGGCACCACACCCCACAGCAGUGACAUUAGGGUGCCUCUGUGCCUGCCUCAAGAACAGUCAGCUUUUC